UGGCGAAUGAUAUGCUGGUAGCGCGGUAGUUUUUCGCGGUGUUUCGCGGGAUGAUCAAACGUAUUCGUGUGUUCGACAUUUUGCGAAAUAUUGUCGAGAUCCAACGGGAUACUUUUUUAAAACCUUUUAUAACCAAUGCUUUGACGAUCACCAGAUUAUCAUGAUAGUUGCGAGUAUGUCGCGAAUAUCGGAACGAAUAUGUGACAUUGUGAAGCUAGCCGAUAGCUCGAAAGUGACUGAUAAGAGGAGAUGCAGAUCUGAACUGUCAGAUUUGUAUCAAAAUGACGAUGUUGUCAGUGAGAUAUGCCAAAAUACAAAGGAAAAGGUUCCAGGAAAGGCCAAUUGGCUCUAUCUUAUAGACGUAGCACACAAGCUGGUUAUCGAUGAAGCAGAAAAGCCCAGUAAAGAGACAAAUGCCAAAAAUAAUGAUAGAAAAUCUUUUGGCAGUCUGGUGAUUGAUACAAUUCGUCGAGCCAUUGAGACAUCAGCUGCAUUUCUGAAAAGCAGUUACAUAGUUGCCAUGAUAUUGCAGAUAUUGGAUUCUAAGGUUUAUAUACAUUAUCAGGAUAUAUAUCUGGGAAUAUUGGUGAAGUACGUACUGCCCAAGAGUAUAAAUCACAGCACUAUCACAGCAGAUCAAUGGAGGGAUCUGCUGAUUGCUUGCACCAAACUCUACAAAAAAACACACCUUGAAAGUCAUAUUGUGCUAGAUGCAUUGCAGAUGAUUGUUGAUUAUUCUUUCUUGCAUACAAAUUUACUUUCUCAUGUGAAGAGUUUACUGUUGUUUCUGGAAAACAUUUUUGAAGAUGUAAACAAAGUGAACAAUGAACAACUGAUAGAGUCUUUCUACAAACUGAGCAGCAGCGUAUGCAGACAAAUCAUGACAGAAUCUAGAAUCGCGCUCUGCAAAUUUAGUGAGAAUAUAUCGAUGGAUAUCUUACCUUUAAAUAGCUCUGAGGAAAAGUAUAGGCUGCUAUUGAUCUUCUUACAAAUUCAUCAUCCGGAGGGUAUCUCUAAGCAUGAUGAUGGCGCUUAUGCAUUUGAUUGGGACAAGUGGCAGAACUUGCUAUGUAGCAUGUUUCAGCUUAUCCAGGAAAACUGCAAAUUGGAUGUACAGUGGCACAGUUUCAUCCAGUUUGCCAGUGAAGUCAUAAAACAGAUAAUAGCUAACUUGGCAAAUUUUACUUUUUCUCUCAAUGGCUCUCAUUCUCAACCCAAACGCAGACGAACAAUGAACAGAAUUGAAAGUAUUGUCGAUCUAGUAAUGGAAAGCAGUCCUGAAGAAACAUGGCCAUUAGUAAAAAUUCUGACAGAAACACUUAGAAAAUAUCCCCAGUGUUUGAGAUCGCAAGAUCUCGCGCCUUUGUUACAACGUUUAACGGAACUCGCUAUGUCUCGAGACGAAAGUAUCAUGAACAAUUUGUACAAUAUAGCUAUUGUACUCAUGGAGAACGAGAUGUCUAAUGGAGAGGAAAUACAGGAUGCUGCAAUUCACUGGAGCAAGAUCUGGGACAUGCUGCUUAGAUCUCUGGGAGCAAAUCAAAAUGAGGAAUCGGGCCAUUUGUUAAUCCGCUGUUUCAUAAGAUAUAAUAGGAUAUUGAAUGCUAAUGCCCUUCUCAGAUUGUAUCUGACCAAAGCGAUCCGCUGGUCGCUAUAUAGUGUGCAGACGCUGCGACAACUGUGCGAGCGUAUUUCCCUGCCGGUGGAUGCAUCCACGUCGGUGCUAGAUCCGUCACCCUCAAUGAUGACAGCUCCAAUUUGUGAUAGGACACGCCUUUUGGAAUGGCUAUUGAACAUACCAUGGCAGAAGCUGUCUACGCGAUUAUCUAUCGAGACUGUCGAGGACAUUUGCACAUUGUCAGUGAAUCUGGUUUUAAGCUCCCGUAACAGACAAAAUAUUCAAAUGGAACAGAAAUCCUCGCAAAGUCAUGAAAAAGCGCACCUAAAGACUUUUGUGCCACAUCAAGAUAUUUUCUCGACAGACCUCCCGCAACUUUGUCACGCGUUCUUGACGUUCAAGGUGGAGCUAUCGGUGAGUUCAAAGGAUGAGCACGUCGUACGGGAUUCUGAAGUGAUGCUCGACACUAGAAGUCCCGUCUCCUGCGUGCAGGAGGUAUUCAACUUCUUGAGAAAACAGAUGCACGAUGUUAUUCAAGAAGAAGGCUCUAACGACGAAUACAAAAAUACAUUUGAAAUCUAUCUACUGAUGAAGCUCGCGUUCGUGGCGAGAUUGCUAUCCACUUUGAAACUGCAAGGCAUUCUUGCAACGGAAGAUACCGCCAGCUACUGCUCGCUGAUGGAAGAUGUGAUAAAAAAGCAGCUGAAACGCAGCUUCGAAAUUCUGACAACAAAAGAUUGGGACAAGUGCAAGAACAAGCAUGUGUAUAUGCUGAGUGUAAUCAGAGCAUUGAAAAUGCUCUAUGGAGCAAUCUACGAUAUGGAAAUUGCUAAAAUAAUAGUUUCGUCAUUUACAGUAGGCAUGAUAAAAACUCUAAUUUUACUGAUGAACUAUGAUGACAAUUAUAUUUAUUAUGAGGAUCCUAACACUUAUCAGGGAAGACACAGGCGUUCCUACAACACGAGUUUAGAGACGUCAGACCCGAAAUCACGCCCGCGCGAAGGCGUGAUUCGUCUGCAGAUCGUGGAAACCCUAUCAUCCAUCUGCGCUUUGCACAUCGACACGGACAUUGACUACAUAUCCUCGGUGCAAGGGAAGAUAAUGAGUAACUUAUUGAAGUUUGUGAACGAGGAUUUUAGCUACGUGGAUUCCAGAAUGUCAUUGAUAAUCCUUGAGUUAUUCGUUGCGCGUAACUAUGUCGAGAGUCAGGACGAAUACGCAAAAGACCCGUUAAAUUGUCUGAUGGAAUUAUGUGAGAAGGGUUGCAAAGACGAGGAAUUGUUGCGACGGUUAUUGCAUCUACUGCCAUACUUCUUCGAAUACGUAAUCAAACAUGAUGAUUCGCCAAAAAAAAUCAUCUACGCGCUCGGGCAAAUCCAUAAACGCAUUUAUCAGCGAAAUUAUAGCGUUCUCGUGCACACGAGCUACAUGAAAUGCGCAUGCAGCUUUGUACGGAUCGAUCCGGACUUUUCGUGGAGUCGCUUUGGCGACGAUGACGACGUUCUAACAAUGUUGAACAGCAUUCUCAAUUACAUUGAUGAUGCACUCUUUGUACUCCGUUCACAAGCAGUGCGAUGCCUACAGGAACUGCUAUCUUUCAGAAACAUUGCUUAUAAAUGGAAGGAACGGAUCUUUGACAAGGUGGAGAAAACUGUGUUCAAAUUGCUCGACGAGACGGCCCAACAAUCGAAUUCCAAUUCGCAAAAUAGUCUGAUGGAGUGUCAACUACAGGAUGAAAGGGAAACCCGGACGGUUACUGCAUUGAUCGCGCUAGCUUCCGUAGCAUGUGCCAGUGGAGUUCUUCAGGGUCGCACCCUAUGUGCGAUAUUGCGACUGAUAACAGAGAAGGAGGUAAAUGUGCAGAUAGUGCAGAAGGUCCUCUUAGCAGCAGCAAAGUACACGUCAACGUACGUGUCGCUCAUUGAGGACAACUUGAACUAUCUGCUGACCUCCUGGAUCGAGGACAUGCAUUGUCCAUUGCAGAGCUUUCCAUGGAUGCUUGUGGAAUGCAAGACUAUCAAGGAAUUCUUUAGAAAAAAUAUCAACUACGUCGUCCCAGUUCUACUGCGCACUUCGGAUAUUGAUGAAGCCAUAUCUUUCUGCGAAAAUCAUGCCGGUGUGGCCUUUAAACAGAUCUUCGAGGAUGUUUUUCCAUCCUGUUUUGUGUGGUUGAUAUCGCGCGCCAUUGUAGCCGAUAACGAUUCUAUAGAGAUAAUGCAAAAAAUUAGAAACAACACGGACGAGUUUAGUGACGUGUGUAAUUUUGAUCAGUUAUUCCGUUCUCGCCUGCAUGACGUUCUCAUACAACUGAUACGGCGGCUACAUGAUGAGAACGACUUUGACCGUGUUCUCUCAAUUUCGUCCGCGAGCUUCCCAGCGGUGGAUCCGCCACAUUUCUCACGAGCCGUACUGGAUCUAUGCUUUGAUUAUCUUGAAAUUAAAUUUCUAAACACGCGCACGCUGAUUAAACAAUCAGCGACGCUACAGAAAACACUGUUGCAGCUCGUGAGUGCCAUACACUUGUCGCGCUCCCGUGAGGAUAAACUCAAGCGACUGCAUCAGUACGUGUACUUCUGCUCACGAUUAACUCACGAUCUUGCGAGUCCUAUCUUCAACGACAUGGCCGCGUUUCUGAUCCGGGAUGUAUGCUACAGCUUGCUGCAUCUAACCAGGAACGAUGACGACGAGACACUCAUCGCGGCAUGUUGCAAAUUCCUAAAUCUGUUCCUAAGACAAGCACUGCCUGCAAGAGCCACGGAAGUCCGGGACAUUCUUCGGUUCGUCGUGGCAAACCUGAUCGGCCUGGCUCAAUCGAAAACGCAUAGCGUCAGUGAAAUUGCAGCGAGUCUACUCGAAUUCCUUGUGGUGGAGCAAACAGAUGUACUGCGAGAGGCUAUUGCAAAACUUGGCUCGUUUCCGAAUCACGAGAUCUUCCGAAAUGCAAGGGAAGCUCACAACGCCGUCAGAUCGAGAAAUGGAUCUGUCUUGUGCCUCGAAGACGAACUGGAGCGUUUCCUCGAUGCCAUGAGCGAGGAAAAUGCCGAGUGUACAUUAGAAGAUCUCACGAAUUUCACGCAGCAGCUGUCGACUAGAAAAAGUGAAUUACGAGAACUGCAUCGAAAGUUGGAGAGACCGUAUCCUGAGGACAGUGCUGGUAUCUUGCAUCGGCUAAUAUUUAAACUCAUCAAGCUAACAGAAUCACCUAAUCCACGUGUGUCGAUUGAAGCCACCAAAUGCCUUGGCGAACUAGGUCCGAUGGAUUCUACAGUGGCUCUGCGACCUGCUGGAAGUCUCGUCCAGAAAGAAGACUUCCCGAUAGAGGCUCUGACUUACCGAUCGGUCGUGAUGUUAACGAGUUUUCUCGUGGAGAACUCAGUAGAACUUCGCAAGGUAAGCGCCGAUGCUCUUUACGCAGUGCUAUCAACUUCCGAUGGUCGAAAAAUAGUUGAAAAAUAUUCAGAACAUCUGUCGAACGUCCUCGAGUGCGCACCUUUAAAGAUCGAGUACAUCCGACCGUUUAUUCGCAGCUGUAACAUCAAGCAGACGACAUUCUAUGUGGAUGCAGCUAGAUUUCGCAUUGUCAUGAAUCCAGAAAACGUGCUAUGGACUGUCCAGAACAACGAGAAUUACGCCGAAUGGAUUAUCAAGGUCACCUGCAGUGUCGCCGAGUGCUUUGCGGAUUCUUACUUGGAGAAUUUCCUGUCGGUUUGUCGACUCAGCGUUGAGUUUUGCGAACUGAUUCUACCCAGAAUUGUUUACCUCGUCAUCCACUCAGAUGACAGCUUUAUCAAUGCUAUGUGUGAUUGCAUGAAUCAAUUCUUCAGGCAACACUUUGCGAUCAAUGAGGCGGAGACUACUGCAUCACCGAUGUCGAGAGGAGGUGAUAGCUGCGAUCAGAAGAUCGUACGUCGCAUGUUGGAUGUGGUGAAUCAUAUUCGCGUCCAGCUGCCGGAUGGCGUGAUCCUAAGACUUGACUAUGUUUACCUGGCCAGAGCGGCGCACAAGUGCUCCGCGUACUAUACAUGUCUGCUGUUUACGCAACUUGCCUGCGGAUUGAUCUCGAGGGACUAUCCAGACUUUAGUAACGAUCCAAGGAUCGAUUACAUCUAUGAACAGCAACCAGAAGUUGGUCGGAUGUUACAAAAUAUCAUGUUGGACACCUACUUGAACAUUAGUGACCCGGAUGCAAAAUCCGGUGCUGGAUCGUCACAUGUGCUUGAUCAUGACUCUCGCGUGCAAUAUUACGCCCGUAUCAAUCGCUGGGGCGAGGUCAUGCUAGCACAGGAUAUCGAAUUGUCUAAUCACUCGCCAUUGGCAAACGCCAGGAUAGAGAUGGCAAACGCGCUAUAUCACUCGGGACUGCAUUUCCUUCAAUGGCAACUCCUAGGCGAUAGUCUGGACGAGAAAUUUAGUUAUGAAUGCGCCUGGAGACUUGGCAAAUGGAAUCUAUCCGUCAACGAUACCACCGUUGCCAAUUAUAACGACUUUCAAUCUCAGCAGCUACGACUGGAGUCAUUGGAAAAUGCAUUCAAUGUGCACCAUUACCACGCACUGAAGUGCUUCCACGAUAACGAUCGGCAGGGAAUUAUUCGAGCAAUUGAAUGCGGUCGCAUGAGCGUGAUCCACAAGCUGCGAAUGAUUAGCCCAGAAAGUAGCAAGACCGUCAAUCAAAAGCUGUCGCAGCUGCGGCUGUUGCGCGAGAUCGAGCAGCUAAGCUGGGCAGCUGACUUACCGGAAGAGAGGUAUCUGGAGAUUUUGCGACGUUGGAACGAGCACGAGAUUAGCUUGGUCGGUCAAUUCGACCACGUAGAACCGAUCCUGUGGCAGCGCAUUAUCAUGUUCCGUAUUCGUGAAUCCCUGCGGCUGGAUACGAACGUACAAGAGGCAUUUUUUGCAACUUGUUUGGAUUUGGCAAAGGUCGCGGAAGGUCAGGGCAAUUUUUCGGUAGCAACCCGAGCGUUGAGAACUCUUCAAUUGCACCAAGAUCUGCCCAUGAAUCUGAAUAAUCAAGUGCUUUAUCAGGAUUCGCUCUUGGCGUGGAUGAAUGGUAACCAAGUAAUAGCUCGUUGUCAAUUACGGAAUCUAAUAGAAAAGAAGAAUCCGGAGCCAAGUUUGAAAGCCAAGGCUCUGCGAGUCUAUGGUGAUUGGAUGGCGGAAACCAAGUCAGAGAAUCCUCAAGCAAUAAUACAAAAGUAUUAUUUAGUGUCUAUUGAGAUCAGCGAAGCUAUCGACGAAAAAACACCUGAUGUUAUCAGAAAUUUACUGGAUACACAGGUUGCACUGGCACGCUUUGCCGAUGCCCAAUAUCAACAGAUCAGCGCGUUUAUGACUUCUCCGACAUACGAGACAUUGAAAGAAUACGCUUGUAGCAAUACGGAUAAAGUGGAUCACGCGCAGAUGAUGAGGGAUCAAAACUUCAAAAAGGCUGUAAUAAUCGAUCAGAAGCAAUCAACUAACGACGCAGCUGAGCUGAGGAACAUCGAGCAAGAGAAGUUUAACUAUCUUGCGCAGGCUCUAAAGUACUAUCUAAAGACACUAUGCAGCAGCGAAGAGCACAACCUGCUUAUUUUUCGACUAGUGGCACUCUGGCUAGAUAACAAUGACGAAGUGAACGAAGAGCUAGAUGAGCUGCUUAACAAGUUGGACAUCGUGCCGUCGUACAAGUUUGUGCCGCUAGUGCCGCAGUUGGCCGCUCACAUAAGCAACGAUUUCAGGCAGCAGCGUAGUUUUUUUGCACGUAUCUUCCGGAUCCUCGAACGAUGUGCCCUAGAACAUCCAUAUCACACCCUACCUGUGGUGCUGGCACUAAAGAACUUGCACAGUGAUGACGAAUACGAAUCUGGUCCUUCAACGGUCGGAAAGAGGGAAGAACGUCGUGUACUAGGUGCCAAGAAGCUCCUCAGCCGAUUGACCAAUUCCUCUGUGCAAACAAUUAUUCACGAAAUGGAAAACUUAUCGCGGGCGUUGCUGAGUUUCGCCUAUUGGCAACCAAAAGGCAAAUGCCAAUCCAAUAAACGCUACUCAAUAUCGCGGGAUCAGCCAAUAUUAAAGAUCAAGAACCUGAACAACGUUCUUCUACCAACCGUGAGUCUCCCUGUGAGACCGUCGCACAAUUACAACAACGUAGUUGGGAUAAAUUCAUAUCAGGACUCUUGCGAGUUUGUUGGCGGCGUAACUGCACCUAAGAAGAUCAUCUGCAUUGGCACUGAUGGCGUACUGCGCCGACAGUUAGUUAAGGGCAAGGACGACUUACGGCAGGAUGCGGUGAUGCAACAGGUAUUCACCGUGAUGAACACGCUGUUGCGCACAUGUAAGGAGACGCAACGGCGGAAUUUACGUAUCAGAACGUACAAAGUGGUGCCGCUGACACAAAGGUCGGGCGUGCUAGAAUGGUGCGAUAACACAGUGCCCAUCGCAGCGACCCUUGUAGGUAACUCGAACGAGCCCGGCUUACACAGGAAGUAUUAUCCGCGGGACCUGACUGCAGAAGUGGCCAGAAACAAAUUGAGAAACGUCCAGCAAAAAUCAAACGAGGUGAAAUUGAAGGUCUUUCUCGAGUGCUGCAAAUAUAUGAAGCCAGCGUUUCAUCAUUUCUUCGAGGAGAAAUAUCGAUCACCCGAGACCUGGGUAGAGAGGACCCUUACAUACACGCGUAGCGUCGCUACCACGUCUAUUGCAGGUUACAUUCUGGGCCUUGGUGACAGACAUCUGAGUAACAUUCUCAUCGACGAGCGCACCGCCGAGGUGGUGCACAUCGAUUUUGGCGUAGCUUUCGAGCAAGGCAAAGUCCUGCCCCUUCCCGAGACAAUUCCAUUUAGGCUAACUAGGGAUAUCGAAGUUGCUAUGGGUGUUUCCGGCAUUGAAGGUACCAUGAGACGAAGUUGUGAAGUGACUAUGACAAUGCUGCGUGAUCAGAAACAGAUUAUCAUCACUCUUCUUCAAGUUCUGCUAUAUGAUCCACUCUUCACGUGGGCGAUCACGCCAGAAAAAGCCUACAAGAUGCAAAGCGAUGUUGUAAGGCGUUCUCUAGAGAACAGUGGGCGAGCGCGCGUGGAAACCAAUACGAUUGCUAACAGAGCUCUUUUGAGAAUCGAGCAGAAACUACAGGGUAUUGAGGACGGUCUGGUGUCUAGUGUUUCCGGACAGGUCGAGAGGCUCCUUCGGGAAGCACGAGACCCUGCGAAUUUGUGCCAGAUUUACUGUGGCUGGCAGCCAUAUCUGUGAAUACUAGUAAAUAAUUUUAUAUAUCAUAAAUACUCAUAUAAUAAGUUUUUUAUCGUAGAAUAAGUUUUUUAUAUUAAUUUAUAAUGUUUAUUCGAAAAUGUCUUUUUAUACUUGUUGAAAAGGAAGUUUUAUCAAUAUUCAAGUUUUAUUGCCUUAUUCCGAUUCCAUGAUCCAUUUGUAUUAUGCAGUGCUGAGGAAAAUAGUUAAAAUAGAAAAUAGAAAUAUUUAUUUAAGUGUAUCUACAAACAAUUUUGAGACAAGUAUUUUAUGUAGUACAUAUUACAAAAGCAAAUAGCAUUUAAGGUUUAUACAUACAUUUACUUAACUGCCUCUCCUCCUUUUUUUUGAAAUUUUUGAAUGAAACUAAACUAUCAGGCGUACCAAUAUAUUUUUAGCAUCGAGUGUACGUAAAAUUCCAAAAUCUUCAAAUGGGGAUCGUGGUAGCUAAUGGGUUAAAAUAAGAAAUUUAUUUUACAUUUUGAUAUGUCAUAGAAAAUAAAUAAGUGAAAGAAAGAUAAAAUAGGAAGAUUAAAAUAAUUACUUAGCUAUUUGGUAACUAAUAACAAGGGAAUUGAUUUUAAAACACAUUUAAAAAAAGAAUGAAUACAUCUAUAUACCUGUAAAAUGUGUGCUGUUUUUUAUUUUAUUUUUACUAUAUUUAAUUUUGUAAAAAAUAGAAAAUAGAGGAAACUUAUUUCCCUGUAACGUCCAUGACAUAAACAUUAAAUACUAUUUGCUUUUUUACAUUUAUUAUAAAGGUUAUUUAUUUCAAAUAGUGUUUUUUUAUAGAUACAUUUUUUUAAUAAAUAUUUCUAAUGAAUCCAUUUCAAUUUUUCCUCGUGGUGUUAUAACGCCUCGACAAAUCGAUGUAUCGAAAUAGCGAGAAUCGAGAAUAUCGUAUUAUCGAUAUAUCACUCUCGCACGCCGCGCGUCUAACAUAACAAAUUCAAAUUUUGAACUGAUUGUGAAGUAGAUUUAUCUUGGAGUAAUGAAGAUAGAAUACAAAAUACUAAAGUUCCCGAACGAGGAAUGAGUUUGGAGGAAGCAGCAGAGAAAAAAUGAAGCAUGUGUUUUCGUUUAUUCAUCGGCGGGAAUGACUGUGACGAUGUGGAAACGAGUGCGGGCACGAGAGUUACACGCGAGACAGAUUAACCGUGAUGAGAGGACAGUCUACAAGUUCCUACUCAUCAUUUUCCUCCGCUAUCGGGAAGGAGCGUACCCCGUAUGCGUUCCGCCAUAGGUGUAAACAUACAGAAUGAUUCCUAAGUAAGUGUAAAAGAUUUAAGGAGAUUUUUAUUUUAUGAAGAAAAUAUUAAAACGUUUUUGAGGUUUUCAUUUUUCUUUUCUCAACUUAGAAACACUUUGUGUUUUGAAAACAAAGUACUUUAAGAUAUAUGUUUAUUUUUUCUUCAUAAAAUAAGCCAAAGAAUAAACUUUUUACUCUUAAAUCUUUUGUAUUGAAUCAUUCUGUAUACAGGUUUAUGUAAAAGUAACAAGAAUAACAGUAGCUUUAUUGAGAUGCAAGUAAUGAAAACAGUUAUAAGCAAAAACGGAAACAUCACAAAGAGCUACACGAAAGAUAAAAUAAUAAAAGUAACGCUGUUUGAAAUUUGUAUUUAUCUUUACGAUUGAAAAUUAACAUGUAAAUGUUAAGUACUAUUUGCUUUUUUUCAUAUUUACUACAUGAAAUACUUUCAAAUAGUAUUUCUUUACAAAUACAUCCUUUAAAUAAAUGUUUCUAUUGCAUUAGUUUCAAUUUUUCGCGAUUAAGGAUUAAAAUUCUUCAAUCAGAUAAUUUUAAUCUGUUUCGUUCUGAUUGGUAGAAUUUUAAUCAUUAAUGUGUAGUAUGAUACAAACUUUAUAAGUUCAAAUCUAUAAUAACAAUAAUGCUGCUUGCAAGCAUAGGUAAUAAUCAGAGCUGAGUACCUAAUUAAAAAGUUAAACAUAAAUAAUAGUAAUUUUAAAGCAUUGAUAUAACUCACAAGUAAAGUUAAAAUGAGUGUUUUGACACUUCGACUAACAGUUAUUUUUAAAACUUUAAAUUUGUUAACUUUUUUCCUAAGUUGUAUAAACAUUUGUAAAAGGAGGAAGAUUGUAAAAGAAAUAUAUUCCAUAUAAACAACAAUUCUUUAUUUAUACAAAAUUAAUUUACAAGAAAGUAUUAAUGUUUGGUAAUCGAUAUUAUUGUGUUAUUAUUUAGAGUAAUCAAAUUUGUAAAAAUUAUGACGUUUUCUAAAUCUAAAUAAUUUUAAAAUUAGAUUUUAACUUAAUCUCAAUGCAACUUUGAAUUCAUUUACUUAACGAAAUUAAUUUUGUGUAAGCCGUUAACUUUAACUUAAUUUAAAAAAUAUAUCAUCAAUUUAUUCAACCCUUACAACAUCUAAUAAUAAUAAUUUUAUUGAAGGGUAAAUAGUAAAAGCGAUUAUCAGGUAGGCGAGAAUCGUCGCGGUGUGCUGCACCUCGAAAAAGGUGAGGCAGCAUAGCCAAGCAUAGCGGUCGCGCGAACAACCCGGACCUAUAAUGAUAAUAAUGAAGGUGUAGGUGUAGGUGUAGGUGUGCGGCGUAUGUAGCGCGCAACGUCGCCGUCACGUCCUCCCCGACUCCGUCAUCGAUUGCGCGCGCGCGCGGGGCGCACUCGGGGAUUUCGCUCGCUCGCAAAGUUUCUCCGAAGGAGGUAGGCCGUGUAGCCGCCACCGCAGCGUGCGAUCGCCUCCGUCCUCGCUGCCUGCAGCGGAAGAGAACGGUACGCUCGCGGGGGGCUUGCGAUUUUCGAAUUGAACAAGAGCGCGAAGGA